AACAAGUAUUAAAGGCAACGCCUGCCCAGUGAACAAUUAAACGGCCGCGGUACCCUAACCGUGCAAAGGUAGCAUAAUCAUUUGUCUAUUAACUGUAGACCUGUAUGAAAGGCAAAAUGAGGGUUUAACUGUCUCUUAUAAUAAAUCUAUUAAACUGAUCUCCCAGUAAAAAAGCUGGAAUACCACCAUAAGACCAGAAGACCCUGUGAAGCUUUAACUAAACUAUUAAAUCCAAUAAUAGCUACUUUAGGUUGGGGCGACCUUGGAAACAAAAAGAACUUCCAAAACAACACACUAACAAAGGCUAACAUGCCAAUAAAUGACCCAGUAAAACUGAUAAUUGAACAAAGUUACUCCAGGGAUAACAGCGCUAUCUUCUUCAAGAGCCCAUAUCAAAAAGAAGGUUUACGACCUCGAUGUUGGAUCAGGACAUCCUAAUGGUGCAACCGCUAUUAAGGGUUCGUUUGUUCAACGAUUAAUGUCCU
rnacentral:rRNA from 1 species